AAAAUUGAAAAUAAAAAUGAAUUUUUCUCUUUCUGUAUUCAAGAAAAAGAAAAGAAGUGAAAAAGAAGAAAAAAGAAAGAAAAUGGGAUAGAUGGACUUGCCACCAGAUUGAAAUAGGACUGAAAUUACUUUGUUUUCCCCUAGAAGUCAGAUUAUGAAGCGCUUUAUAGUCCAUAAACUCAGCAGGCGGUGAGACGUGUGUUCUUAAAGAGCGAGGUUGGCCCGGUUGGGCGGGGCUCAGUGUAACGGCUCCGCUCUCCACUAGAUGGCGCCGCCAGCCUCCUGGGGUGGGUUCUUGUGGCGCUCGUAGGUGCGUAUGCGCAUGCGCGGGAGCGGUGAAAAUGGCGCCACCCAGCUACCCGGUCUGUUCUCCCCGGUCAGCAGUCGCGCACCCGUCCUCUGUCUUCAGCUCUCGUCCGCUCCCCGCUUCUUCCGUCUCCGUGACCAGGCCCCAGGCAGUCACUCUCUCCCGAGUUUUGUCUCAGACGCGGCUGUUUUCCCCGGCCCCUUACUUCCGAAGGGCUGCGGCUUCGGCCCCUUCCGCCCCUCUGCGGGAGGGUCUCCCCGGGCAACGGCCGACGCCGGCCACACACAGGAAAGUUCGCCAAACCUGCUGCUGCCGAAGCCCAGAGACCGCUGCCGGGUGCCAGCCACCCCAGAAAAAGUUUGCGAGCUAGCGCAGCAGCAGCCUUUCAGGGAUUAUGGAAAAUCGCAACACGCAUCUGGCACCAGGCUUCACCCUUAACGACCUUGUUCCAGCACCAGCGAUCGGGGCCGUUCCCUGGGGUCUGCUGGGUCCAGGUCGCCUCACAGCCUCUACCGAACGCCCUUCCGGCAGUGGAACCGCUUCUCCCCGUGUGGCCCGAGAACCUCCCGGACCCCGCUCUGCUCCUGGGGAUUCGCCCUUCCCGCCAGAGCACCCACCGCCAGAGACAGAGAGAGACAGAGUGCAAGCGAGGGAGAAGCAGAGAGCGAGGGAGACACAGAAUCCGAAGCAGGCUCCAGGCUCUGAGCUGUCAGCACAGAGCUAGACUCGAGGCUCAAACUCAUGGACUGUGAGAUCCUGACCUGAGCUGAAGUUGGACGUUCAACCGACUGAGGCACCCUGGUGCCCCAUGAGCCGGACACAUUUCUGUCACCAUGGAUUCCUCCAACAUGAGUGAAAGAUUGGAAUGACAGUAUCGGAAGGUCUGGGGACAUCUGUCUGUCACAAAGGAAGCAUGGUAGCUGCCAACCCAUUGUUUAGAAGAAUCCAGGGAAUGGCUCCAGGUCAAGAGUGGAUGAGAAGGGCCAAGCAGUUACCUGUUUCUCCCAGGGAAACUUCAGAUGUAGCCCUCACAGAGUGAUGGUCUAUACCCAUAAUAAUGGCCAAGACCCAAGACAGUGCUCCAUUCACAUUGCUGCAGGCGUCAACUAUGAAUCACAAGGACAGCCCCAAAUCCUGCAGCUCUCCCUUGCUCUGCAAAUGAAGGCGGCAGGAAUGAUCAAGACUAGAAUCUUCCCAAGGCUCACCUGUAUAUCCCCCCAAAUAGUCCAUGUGUACCUACUAUGUGUUGGGUCCCAUUCUGGGCACUGGAGACAGAGGAGCGAACAAGGAGCGGCUCACUGCUUGCACCAGGGCAAGGGGAGAAAAACAGACAGGUAAUGGCCGGGACGUGUCUGAAGUCAUCACCCACCAACGAUCAGAAAUAAACACAAAACAUCGGAGCCAAGAAUUCAUUUUAGCAUCUGUGACAGCUGCGUUGAGAAACAGCAUUCAGAGUAUGAAUGGAUGUACUGACUACAUGAUGCUGAGUCUUUUACUGGACUUCCCCUUGUUUCGCUAGGAGAGCCACGAAAGUCCCCUCCCUAAGUUUAAGAGCCUCUGUCUGGUUGCCAUGUCCACAUGAGGGAGAAGCUCCCGCUGCCCUCUUUCUGCUGACCUGAAGCCUCAGAAGCAGACAGCUGGAGAAGCGGCCUCCACAGCAUUUUAUCUUGAAACAGGAAAGUUGAUUUUAGAAAUAAAGAAGCCACACGCUGAGCUAGCCUCGGGGUUUCCAAAGAAAACCCGCGGUGUUAGCCAACAGAUCAAGGCAGUCUUUCGUGGUCCCUGGUGUGUUCCACCAUCUUGAGCUGUUCCAGCGUCUAAAUGCACAAGUAAAGCCUUUGAACAUGGAGAAAUACGUGGCCAGGGAAUGGUUUUCGUGGCCACUGAGAAAUCAAAUGCCCUUUUUUUUUUUUUUCUUACAUCCUAGGAAAUUCUGGUUUUCCCCAGUAGGGUAAUUACUAAGCGAUUAAUUCUAGCAUUCCCCACUCCCUACUUACAUUUAGGAUGAAGUAAUGCUUUUAGAGAGAGGUCAAAACAUCUACUUGGAAAACAAAAGCAAAAAAAAAUUAAAAAAAAAAAAAAAAGCCUGCUUCUGUUCCUUUGCCCAGACAUAGGCCUCUGCAUAUCACUUUUCUAUCAUUUCUCAAUGCUGUGCUCCGAAGCCUGAAAAUAAACACACCCAGAGCUGUGGAAAGGUGCCAACCUCCAACAUUUUCUAGCACCCUGCAGACCACCCACAGUGAUCCCCAGAUACUCAGAUCUUCAUAUGGUUCUUCAUCUCAAUUCAAACGGCCCCAAUUUAGCUGUUUGAUGUUAUUCCCUCAGUUUCUGCAACCAGAAGAAAGGUGUUAGGACUUAGCUUUUAUUCACCACAUCUUUUGAGUUACUCCUCCCGUCCUACGGGCCAGCCCAUCCUCUGACCCUUGUAAAGGAGCCUUUCCUUGGAAUAUUGAAAACCACUUGCUGACACGGAGCUGUGCGCCUGUGCUCAGCUCCUGGCAGACACUGGGUUGUGCUCAGUAUAAUCACUGAUGUGGCAAUGGGUUCCCCCUCUAAGCCACCCUCUCCUUGGACCCUGGUAAAGUGCUUACUGGAUCAAAAGUGUGGCCAUGGAAAAUCUAGGCAGCUCCUUGAAGGCUUGGCCCUGCCACUCGGUAUCCCACGGUGAUUUUCCUCCAGGUGGCACAGUGCUACUUAAAGUCCACACUGCCCCAUGGUCCCAGUGCUUGGCACCGUGGUAAGCCUUCAGUAGAUGCUUGUGGACCAACGGUUGGAAAGAGAACACUGACACCCAAGUAGGACGUUUCUUUUGAAUUAUCCCUUCCAUGACCAAACCCUGCUACUGUCCACUGUACUUCCCUCAAGAGUUGUUGAAUACCUUCCCCCUUCCCCCGAACGUGGCUGAAAAUAGGACAAUGCCCCUCCGAGGAAGAGCUCUGUGGCUUUGCUGUUCAAUCUGUGGUGAGCAGCAGCCUGCUGCUCGGUGUCUCACCCUGGCAGUCCCUGCAGGCCCAGACCAAUGGCGAGGGGUAACCAUCCACUGUUAGCACUGGGGACCGGUGCCUCCCCCGUGAAAUUCAAGAGAGAUGUGUCAAGGCUGAGAUCACACAGGUAUCACUAGUUCCUCUGAAGAAAUCAGAAGAAAUGCCACACAUCAAGAUUUGGAGCAGAGUUCCUUGACUUUGGAGAUGGGGCCCCACAAUGCCCCCAAAAGAGGCAGAAUUCUGAAGAGCUCUGUAGCUGAGCAUGGGCAGUAAAAGAAGGGAGAGGGGGCCAUGUGGCUGGGGACUCAUCUUUCAAUUCCAUAGCAAGGGCUCACACCCAGUCACUGGCAGGUGAAUAGAACAGAACAUGCAGGCCAUUAGACGUGACACCAGGCUCCCAGCCACCUGCCUUCUUUCUCUCACCUGAUGGGGGAAGAUCAGCUGAGACCCACUGUGUGCCCUUCACAAAUCUUCACAGUUAGUCUCCAUGGCUAUCUGAGAAGCAGGUAUUUUGUUCUAUUUAUUUUUCAGUCCAGUGUAAUUAACAUAUAGUGUUAUAUUAGCUUCAGGGGUACAAUAUAGUGAUUCACAAUUCUAUACUUACUCCGUGCUCCUCACGAUAAGGGUACCCUUAAUCUCCCUAACUUAGUUCACCCAUCUUCCCACCUACCUCCCCUCAACCAUCCAUGUGUUCUCUAUAGUUAAGAGUUGAGAAUUUGAGUUUAUAGUUAAGAGUCUUUUGGUUUGUCUCUUUCUUUGUUUUGUUUCUUAAGUCCUACAUAAGAGGGAAAUCACAUGGUAUUUUUCUUUCUCUGACUUAUUUCACUUAGCAUUAUACUCUCUAGAUCCAUCCAUGUUGUUGCAAAUGGCAAGAUUUCAUUUUUUAGGGCUGAGUAAUACUCCAUUGCAUGUAUUGCAUAUAUACACCACAUCUUCUUUGUCCAUUCAUCUAUGGAUGGACCCUUGGGCUGCUUCCAUAUCUUGGCUGUUGUAAAUAAUGUUGCAAUAAACAUAGUAGUGCAUGUAUCUUUUCGAAUUAGUGCUUUCAUUUUCUUUGGAUAAAUACCCAGGAGCGGAAUUAUGGGAUCAUAAGGCAGUUCUGUUUUUAACUUUUUGAGGAACCCUCCACACUGUUUUCCACAGUGGCCGCACCAGUCUGCACUUCCAAGGAGGUAGGUAUUGUAAUAAUGGCUGCUAUUUUUGAAUUUAGGGGAAAAUGUACAAACCGUGGUGCCCAGCACGCUCUCCUGAUCUUUACAAAAGCCUUGCAAACGAAUGUCAUUCUCAUUUUGAAGCUGAGGACAGCGACCCUGAGAGUAAACUGCCCAUGUAGCCAGCAAGUGGUGACGCAGGGAUUAGACAUCGGAUCUGUCAGACUCCAAGCCCCGCUCGAGCCACCUUCUCACACAUCCCCCAUGUAUCCUGGUUACUUUCCUGCAGUUCCCCUCAUAUUCCCUCUACUUCACGUGGCAAGGACUGGGGUGGCACUGAAGCAGCUCCCUGGGCUUCUGGAUGCCAAGGGCACCCGAAGUUUCAUCUUGUGACUGCACUGUCAUCUAAACCCCACCUAGUCUUCUACCUGGCCCCGGUGCGAGACUCCUUCCCUUAGAGCCUUCCCAAGGUGACAAGAGAAAGUAAUUCCUCUGAACUAGCACAGGAUAACACCGACACUGGCUACUUUUUCUCUGCUAGCAUCUAUAAGCUUCCUGAGGGCAACACCCCCUUCUGCUGGAGGUUUGCAGCCUCCCACCCACCAGCGUGGCCUCUGUGAGCUGAAUGAAUACAUGAAUAUCCCCCCUUUUCAGUGUUCACAUAUCAACUUACCGACUCACCACCGC